CGUGUAGGCGGCUCAUCAAGUCUGGUGUGAAAACGCAGGGCUCAACCCUGCGGUUGCGCUGGAAACUGGUGGGCUUGAGUUCUUGAGGGGAAGCUGGAAUUCCAGGUGUAGGGGUGAAAUCUGUAGAUAUCUGGAAGAACACCGGUGGCGAAGGCGAGCUUCUAUCAGAGGACUGACGCUGAGGCGCGAAAGCGUGGGGAGCAAACAGGAUUAGAUACCCUGGUAGUCCACGCUGUAAACGAUGUGCACUAGGCGUGGGGCACGUACGUGCUCUGUGCCGUAGUUAACGUGAUAAGUGCACCGCCUGGGGAGUAUGCUCGCAAGGGUGAA
rnacentral:rRNA from 1 species